rnacentral:rRNA from 1 species
GAGUUUGAUCCUGGCUCAGAUUGAACGCUGGCGGCAGGCCUAACACAUGCAAGUCGAACGGUAACAGGAAGAAGCUUGCUUCUUUGCUGACGAGUGGCGGACGGGUGAGUAAUGUCUGGGAAACUGCCUGAUGGAGGGGGAUAACUACUGGGAACGGUAGCUAAUACCGCAUAACGUCGCAAGACCAAAGAGGGGGACCUUCGGGCCUCUUGCCAUCGGAUGUGCCCAGAUGGGAUUAGCUAGUAGGUGGGGUAACGGCUCACCUAGGCGACGAUCCCUAGCUGGUCUGAGAGGAUGACCAGCCACACUGGAACUGAGACACGGUCCAGGCUCCUACGGGAGGCAGCAGUGGGGAAUAUUGCACAAUGGGCGCAAGCCUGAUGCAGCCAUGCCGCGUGUAUGAAGAAGGCCUUCGGGUUGUAAAGUACUUUCAGCGGGGAGGAAGGGAGUAAAGUUAAUACCUUUGCUCAUUGACGUUACCCGCAGAAGAAGCACCGG